rnacentral:tRNA from 1 species
GGGUCGGUAGCUCAGCGGUAGUAGCUUCGGAUUGUUAAUCCGAUGGUCGUGGGUUCGAUCCCCGCCCGGCCCU